CUACGGGUGGCAGCAGUGGGGAAUAUUGGACAAUGGGCGAAAGCCUGAUCCAGCCAUGCCGCGUGUGUGAAGAAGGCCUUCGGGUUGUAAAGCACUUUCAGUGGGGAAGAAAGCCUUAGGGCUAAUACCCUCGAGGAAGGACAUCACCCACAGAAGAAGCACCGGCUAACUCCGUGCCAGCAGCCGCGGUAAUACGGAGGGUGCGAGCGUUAAUCGGAAUUACUGGGCGUAAAGCGCGCGUAGGCGGUCUGAUAAGCCGGUUGUGAAAGCCCCGGGCUCAACCUGGGAACGGCAUCCGGAACUGUCAGGCUAGAGUGCAGGAGAGGAAGGUAGAAUUCCCGGUGUAGCGGUGAAAUGCGUAGAGAUCGGGAGGAAUACCAGUGGCGAAGGCGGCCUUCUGGACUGACACUGACGCUGAGGUGCGAAAGCGUGGGUAGCAAACAGGAUUAGAUACCCGGGUAGUC
rnacentral:rRNA from 1 species